CCUACGGGAGGCAGCAGUGGGGGAUAUUGCACAAUGGGGGGAACCCUGAUGCAGCGACGCCGCGUGUGGGACGACGGUCCUCUGGAUUGUAAACCACUGUCCCCAGGGACGAAAAUGACGGUACAUGGGGAGGACGCUCCUGCUAACGACGUGCCAGCAGCCGCGGGACUACGGAGGGAGCGAGCGUAGUCCGGAAAUACUGGGUGUAAAGGGAGUGUAGGCGGGGAUGCAAGUCAGGUGUAAACACUACCGGCUCCACUGGUAGGCGCACUCAAAACUGCAGCUCUUGAGUGAAGGAGAGGCAGGCGGAAUGCCUAGUGUAGCGGUGAAAUGCGUAGAUAUUGGGAGGAACACCAGUGGCGAAGGCGGCCUGCUGGGCUUGUACUGACGCUGAGGCUCGAAAGUGUGGGGAGCGAACAGGAUUAGAUACCCCGGUAGUC
rnacentral:rRNA from 1 species